CAGACAAGGGAAGAGAGCUUGUACAAAGAAACUCCCCCUUAUAAAACCAUCAGAUCUUAUGACACUUAUUCACUAUCAUAAGAACAGCACAGGAAAGUCAUGCCCCCAUGAUUCAAUUACCCCCCAACAGAUCCCUCCCACAACAGGUGGGAAUUUAAGAUGAUAUUUGGGUUGGGACACAGCCAAAUCAUAUCACACGUGGUAUGAUAUACCAGAAAAUGUGGAAGAAAAUGCUAUGUGGAAUAUUGUCAAUCAUCCUACUAGAGAGAAAACAAGCACUGGAGGAUCUCACUGACAAUUAAAUGCUUAGCCCAAAGCCAGAGAGACACAUUAGUUUCUCUCACAAGACACUGGCCAGAAUUGGUCACAUGGGAAUCCAGGCAGUACAAUCUUACUAUGGGCCAAGAAGUCAGAGAGUUGAGACUAUUCAGUGAUCAGCAUAAAUAAAUAGUAUACCAUCCUUUAUAAUUUUCUUUCAUUUUUGCCUUAAAAUUAUACUAGCUUAAUUUCCUAGAUUCUUGCUUUAACUUUUUAAGUUUUUUAUUCCUCUUAAGAUUUCUUAUUUUCUUGCCACUUUGAUGGUGUAUUCUGAAGUUUCAUUUUAUAUAUUAUUCAUUGGUUUGGGGGGAAUUUGUUCAUUUACCUUUUAGAUGAAAGGCUUUUUUAUAUAUCUGGUAUACUCUAGUAUACUGCUCCAGAGAUAAUGAAAAUAGAAAUUUUACCACUCACUUUCAAAGCCUUGAAAAAAAUGAUCCAAAUCUUAAUGGAAUCAUAAAACCACCUUUCUAUGGUGGUCCUAUUAUCUAAAUGUCAGGAGAACUACUCCUCAUUCUAUUUCUUACUAAAUAACUUUGAAACCAUGGUCAGAUCAUUUCCCCUCUCUGGACCUACUUUCCUUAACUAUAAAGCAUCUAGGUAGUGUAAAUGACCUUUCAGGGGCUGCCCCAACAUACUAUUCAUUUAUCAGUUUAUUUCACAGUAGAACAUGCAUUCUAUAAUGAUUUUUAACAAUCUCAAAUUCCAAACCAAAUAUUUCUUUUUCAAUGGCAGGCUUGUUGCUACUUAAAGCUUUUCAUGGAAGCUCUUGACUCAAGAAUGCUACAAAAAUAGGCUCUUGUCCUCUUCUUGCAUCUUGCAGAUGUACAACAUUAGCAUAAAGAGAUGUUGGAAAAAAGGUGCCCUCUUCUACCAUGUAGUUCCUUUGCUGCUACGUGAACCUCAUAUAUUCUCACCUCCUUCUUGAAAUACUUGCAACAGAGUACAUAAAGGAUAGCUGAACAUUCUUUGGAGAGGACAAUUGUAGUUUAAUCCAACCUUUGAAAAAGCUUUGCUCCUCAUUCAAAUUCUUUAGAUGCUCUCAGUGCGUAAACUACAUGUCAUGGUACAUACAAAAGGGAAGAGAAAAACACAAUUGUCAUGGUCAGUUUGAGAUGCUACAACAAAAAUGCCAUAGACUGGUAGACUGGGUGGUUUAAACAAUUACAUUUAUUUCUCACAGUUCCAGUAUCUGGUGAGGGCUCACUUCCUUGUUUGCAGACAGCUACCUUCUUGCUGUAUCCUCACAUUGCUGAGGGAGGGAUCCCGUGUUUCUUCCUCUUUUUAUAAGGGCAUUCAUCUCAUUAUGAAGGCCUCAUCCCAAUGACCUAAUCUAAUCCUAAUUACUUCCCAAAGGCCCCACCUGCAAAUACCAUCACAUCGAGGACUAAGGUUUUACUGUAUGAAUUUUGUGGGGAGGUGAGGAAUAGCAGAUGAAACACAUUUAGUCUGGAGCAACAAUUAACAUUGUUUUAAAAAACCACCAUGUCUUUCAAAAUAUAUGUAUUUUCCCCUAAUGAUUACAUUUAUUUCUCACAACAAUCCUUGAGGUAGAUAUUGUUAUACCUCCUUUUGGAUGUGAAAACUGAGUUCACAAAGGAUAAUUAAGAGAUUCAAGACUUCACAUUUGUACUGCACUGUCUACCAAAGCUCAUCAGUGUUACUGAAAUUACAUGAGAGAUAUAAAUCUAAGUAAAUAGAACCCCCUGCCUCAUGGUAAUAAGUAGAAGACUCAGGUAUAAGGCAAGAACAACUCCGUCAAGAUGAGGAAACACAGGCAUUCACAUACCCGCUGAUGCAUGAGGAUAGAGAGCAUGGCCUCUGAGCUCAGGAAGACUGGAUUGGUUUAAUUCCCAGAGCUGAGGCUGUAGUAGAUUUCUUUUUAUUUUCUUUAACUUUAUUUAUUUAUUUAUUUGAGAGACUCUGUCUCAAAAAAUAAAUAAAAUAAAAUAAUAGCUUAGUUAUUUUUUAGUAUACCUCUCAUCGUGGGGUCAUCUGGUGGUUUCUUAUGAUUAGUUUCAGGUUAUGCACUCUUGACAGAAAUAACCAAGAAGUUAUGUUGUGUUUUAAACAUGCAUGAGGUCAGGAGGGAAAUGAUAUUAUUUGUCCUAUUCGUGUAGAUAUUAACUUUGAUCAUUGGUUAAGAUGAUGCCUGUAGGCCUCUCCAGUGUAAACAUGUCAUUUUUUUCAUUUGUAAUAAAUAUUUUUUUCAUUUUAUUUUAUUUUAUUGUUGAGACAGGAUCACUCUCUGUAACCCAGGCUGGAGUGCAGUGGUGCAAUCUCAGCUCACUGUGGCCUCAACUUGGGGCUCAAGCGAUCCCUUCUACCUCAGCCUCCUGAGUAGCUGAGAAUACAUACACGCACUACCACACCUGGCUAAUUUUUUUUUUAGAGAUGCGGUCUCACUAUGUUGUCCAGGCUGCCAUUGAACUCUUAAGCUCAAGUAAUCCUUCCACCUCGGCCUCCCAAAGUGCUAGAAUUACAGGUGUGCACCACCAUGCCCAGCCUAAGUAAGUAUUUUUAUGGAGCAAAACUUUUGGGGCUAGAUAAAUAUCUUAGUCCCAUUAAUGUUUCACCCACUAGCUUUAUUAUCUAUUUAUAAUUCUUCCUUUAAGCAAUUAAUACUGUGAUGUUUGCAAAUGAUUUCUCUAAUUUUAUCAUUCCUGCCUCAUUUAUUAGGUGGCCUUUUACUCCAAGGAAGAGCUUUUACUUCUUCCACAUUUAUGUAUUUGUUUAUUUGUUUAUAUCAUUCUGUAUAUCUGUAUGGAGUUCAUGUUACAAGUUUCCUAACCCUCAGGAACCUCAGUUCCUCCUCUGUAAAAUGGCAAUGAAAAUAUUUACCAUCUAGGUUUGCUGUGUAGAUUAAAUAAGCUAAUAUAGGUAAGGUCCUCCAAAUCAUGAGAAUCACAUAAAUUGGAGCUACUUAUAUUAGUAAUAAUAAUAAUAAUACUUGUCUGACUUUUAAUAUAGUGAGAACAGUUCAGGGUCAUCUUCUGUCAGUACUUUAUGAACUUGAACGACCCAUUUAACCUCUCUUGCUCUCAUUCUUCUCACCUAUAAAACAAAAGAGUUGGGUUACAUGAUCUCUAAAUUCAACUACAAUUUUAAUGUAAGAAACUAAGAUUCUGUACCUCAGAUGAGUUUUGUGUUUCAGAAUCCCUGUUCUAGGAGACUUAAGAACAGGCUGGGCAUGGUGGCUCACUCCUAUAAUCCCAGAACUUUGGAAGGCCAAAGCGGGCAGAUCAUUUGAGGUCAGGAGUUCGAGACUAGCCUGGCCAACAUGGUGAAACCCCAUCUCUACUAAAAAAAAUUAAAAAAUUUGCCAGGCGUGGUGGUGCAGGCCUGUAGUCCCAGCUGCCAGGGAGGUCAAGGCAGAAGAAUCAUUUGAACCCGGGAGGCAGAGAUUGCAGUGAGCUGAGGUCAUACCACUGGACUCUAGCAUGUGUGACAGAGCAAGACUCCAUCUAAGAAAAGAAAAGAAAAGAAAAGAAAAAGAACAAUGAAAAACAUAUCAAGUAAGCCACUAGAUCAUCAAGUGGUACCAAGAUUGGGAGCGCCUUAUCAGCUACCAGGAGCACACCACUGGUGCUGACUAAUGGUCUUUAAUACUUAAAAUUAUUUCGAUGAGUUGCUUCACAUGUCAGGUGCAGGCUCUAGUCUCAAACUCCCUGGGUUUUACCAAGACUUUACCAUUUUCCAGCUAUGU
rnacentral:lncRNA from 1 species